rnacentral:rRNA from 1 species
UACGGAGGGAGCUAGCGUUGUUCGGAAUUACUGGGCGUAAAGCGCACGUAGGCGGCUAUUCAAGUCAGAGGUGAAAGCCUGAAGCUCAACUCCAGAACUGCCUUUGAAACUAGAUAGCUUGAAUCCAGGAGAGGUGAGUGGAAUUCCGAGUGUAGAGGUGAAAUUCGUAGAUAUUCGGAAGAACACCAGUGGCGAAGGCGGCUCACUGGACUGGUAUUGACGCUGAGGUGCGAAAGCGUGGGGAGCAAACAGG